AAAAUAAUUAGGAAUUAAUGUGAAGAUUAAUUUUUAGUCAAUUCUGCAAGACAGACUUUCAGGAAAGGAGGUGGAAUAAAAAUGAGCUCCUAAAUCUUAAUCCUGGAUUCUGGAAGAUAUAUUCCUCAAACCAUCGAACAAGAGGAGGUGGUGCUGGUCCUUCACGAGUCACUCUAAUCUGUUCAUAAAGCCUAUAUAUAAAGACUUAAUAUAUAGUAUUUCACAAUACUUCAUGGUAUUCUAAUUAAAUCAUUUUUUGGAAUCUUAAGUCUCUCAGAGCCUGACACCGAGUAAUUCUGGAGACUCCAGGAAAGUGGCAGUUCUGUAAAAUGUUGGCGCUGGAGACUAAAUGCACCCUGAUAGUUUCACACCUAAUUCACUUAACACACACACACACACACACAUUACCCACAGUGACAGUGGGACUGAGUGACAUCAGAUGUAUGAUAGUUUUUUUUAAUUUUCUAUCAUCCAUACAGUGUUGUAUAGUCAUGAAACUAUGGUCAUGAGACCAGUCAUUCUGAGGAAAUAUGCCUCAGAAUGACUGGUCUUCUAUGUGUACAUUUUUUUUUUUAAGUGUUUAGAAGCUGCACUUUAAAAAAAUAAAAAGACAUUUACUGGUUCCUUUUUUACUAUUAUUUCAAAAAAUCAUCACGGCAAAACCAUUCAAGCUAUCCAAAAUUCAUUCACACCUAUUCUGUAAGAUUAAUUCUUUAAACAGUGGUAAAAGAGGAUGUGGUGCUGAACCUUCAAGAGUCACUCAAAACGUUAUCUGUCCAUAAAGCCUAUAAAGAAUUAUUCUUAAUAUACAGUUCAAAAUACUUCAGCUUGUUAUUCUAAUUAAGUGAGGGUCAUUUUAUCAGUAAAAUAUAUACAAUUCAUUUUUCUUUGAAAGAUUUCUAUAAAUGAUUUAAAUCAUACUCGUUUCUACAAUAAUUAUUUAAAAGUAAUCCUAUAGCUCCCUCUAGUGGCCAUUAUAGGUACUAAGAAUUGCAAGCUUGAUUUAUAAGUUAUGAUAGUUUAAAUUUUAUGCUGGCUCUUGAAAGUGAUAAAGCUAUGAAACUUACUGUGCUUCCUUCAAAUGAGGACUUCUACUUAUAUAAAAAAUUAUGAAGAUUUAGAAUGAAAAAUUGUAAAGAUAUAGUAAAAUAACUAUUGUAUUUUUUUAUGUUACUUUAAUAAAUCUCUAUGGCAACACCAUUUAAGCUAUCCUAAACCCAUUCACAAUUUAACAUCUCAGUAUAUAGGCAUAAUGUUGAAAAAGGAGUAUGGAGUAGUAUGAGUAGGAGUAUGAAUUCAUUUGCAGGCUUUAUCAUAAAUCCACAAUAAAAUUUCUGAGUUCUGUAUCAA